rnacentral:rRNA from 1 species
UACGUAGGGUGCGAGCGUUGUCCGGAAUUAUUGGGCGUAAAGAGCUUGUAGGCGGUUUGUCGCGUCUGCCGUGAAAAUCCGGGGCUCAACCCCGGACUUGCGGUGGGUACGGGCAGACUAGAGUGUGGUAGGGGAGACUGGAAUUCCUGGUGUAGCGGUGAAAUGCGCAGAUAUCAGGAGGAACACCGAUGGCGAAGGCAGGUCGCUGGGCCACUACUGACGCUGAGAAGCGAAAGCGUGGGGAGCGAACAGG